rnacentral:rRNA from 1 species
CAGUCGCCGCGGUAAUACGUAGGUGGCAAGCGUUGUCCGGAAUUAUUGGGCGUAAAGGGCUCGCAGGCGGUUUCUUAAGUCUGAUGGGAAAGCCCCCGGCUCAACCGGGGAGGGUCAUUGGAAACUGGGAAACUUGAGUGCAGAAGAGGAGAGUGGAAUUCCACGUGUAGCGGUGAAAUGCGUAGAGAUGUGGAGGAACACCAGUGGCGAAGGCGACUCUCUGGUCUGUAACUGACGCUGAGGAGCGAAAGCGUGGGGAGCGAACAGGAUUAGAUACCCCAGUAGUCCCUGUCUCUUAUAC